UACGGAGGGUGCAAGCGUUAUCCGGAUUCACUGGGUUUAAAGGGUGCGUAGGUGGGUUGGUAAGUCAGUGGUGAAAUCCCCGAGCUUAACUUGGGAACUGCCAUUGAUACUAUAUAUCUUGAAUGUCGUGGAGGUUAGCGGAAUAUGUCAUGUAGCGGUGAAAUGCUUAGAUAUGACAUAGAACACCCAUUGCGAAGGCAGCUAACUACGCGAAUAUUGACGCUGAGGCACGAAAGCGUGGGGAGCAAACCGG
rnacentral:rRNA from 1 species